rnacentral:rRNA from 1 species
CCUACGGGAGGCAGCAGUGGGGAAUUUUGGACAAUGGGGGAAACCCUGAUCCAGCCAUUCCGCGUGAGUGAAGAAGGCCUUCGGGUUGUAAAGCUCUUUCGGCAGGAACGAAACGGCGGACUCUAACAUAGUCUGUCAAUGAUGGUACCUGAAGAAGCACCGGCUAACUACGUGCCAGCAGCCGCGGUAAUACGUAGGGUGCGAGCGUUAAUCGGAAUUACUGGGCGUAAAGCGUGCGCAGGCGGCUUUGUAAGACGGAGGAGAAAUCCCUGGGCUUAACCGAGGAACUGCGUUCGUGACGGCAAAGCUGGAGUGCGGCAGAGGGGGGUGGAAUUCCUGGUGUAGCAGUGAAAUGCGUAGAGAUCAGGAGGAACACCGAUGGCGAAGGCGGCCCCCGGGGUUGACACUGACGCUCAUGCACGAAAGCGUGGGGAGCAAACAGGAUUAGAUCCCCUUGUAGU